AAAAAGGAAUUUGCUUAUUGCACCACAUGUGUUUUUUAUUGAACAAAUUUCUUUGGUGGCGGGAGCAAUCCUACCGCCAGAGGUUAUAACUAAACCAAACUUUUUAUUUACAGUCAAACUUGAUUUAUUAUUACAAUAGUCAAAACUUUCAACAACGGAUCUCUUGGUUCUCGCAUCGAUGAAGAACGCAGCGAAAUGCGAUACGUAAUAUGAAUUGCAGAUAUUCGUGAAUCAUCGAAUCUUUGAACGCACAUUGCGCCCUUUGGUAUUCCAAAGGGCAUGCCUGUUUGAGCGUCAUUUCUCCCUCAAACCCCCGGGUUUGGUGUUGAGCAAUACGCUAGGUUUGUUUGAAAGAAUUUACGUGGAAACUUAUUUUAAGCGACUUAGGUUUAUCCAAAACGCUUAUUUUGCUAGUGGCCACCACAAUUUAUUUCAUAACUUUGACCUCAAAUCAGGUAGGACUACCCGCUGAACUUAAGCAUAUCAAUAAGCGGAGGAAAAG
rnacentral:misc_RNA from 1 species